CCUACGGGAGGCAGCAGUAGGGAAUUUUCGUCAAUGGGCGCAAGCCUGAACGAGCAAUGCCGCGUGAACGAGGACGGUCUUCUGAUCGUAAAGUUCUGUUGAAGGGGAGAAAGAUCGGAGAGAGGAAAUGCUUUCUGAUUGAUAUUACCCUUCGGGGAAGUCACGGCUAACUACGUGCCAGCAGCCGCGGUAAUACGUAGGUGGCGAGCGUUAUCCGGAAUGAUUGGGCGUAAAGGGUGCGUAGGCGGCCUGCUAAGUCUGGAGUGAAAGGUACCGGCUCAACCGGUACAGGGUCUGGGAACGGACGGGCUAGAGAGCAGGAGAGGGCGGUGGAACUGUAUGUGUAGCCGUAAAAGGCGAAGAUAUAUGGAAGAACACCAGUGGCGAAGGCGGGCGCAUGGCCUGUUAACUGACGCUGAGGCACGAAAGCGUGGGGAGCAAAUAGGAUUAGAUACCCCGGUAGUC
rnacentral:rRNA from 1 species